UAGUGGCCGAAUGUCCAGGUGGCAGGCUGUAGCCCUGUUGAUGUGGGUUCAAAUCCUAUUUCUACC
rnacentral:tRNA from 1 species